CUCUCAGCUUAAGGCCAAUUCCUCUUGUCCUCUCACCGCAGGCAAGGCUGAAGAGACCGGCCCUCACCUCCUUUCAGGUGGUUGUGGAGAGCAAUGAGGUGCCUCCUGAGGCUCCUCGAGACUAAACAAACCCAUAUAAAUAACUUGGGACAUGCUGUGUUGAGGGCCCUGUCAGUCACAUCCAGCUCAGUUACUGGAGAGCUCGACUCCAGAAGGUCACAGAGCUGCCUGCCAGCACACCUGCCACUGCACUGAGAGCAGGCAGACUUUAAAUAACCCUUUUUGUCCCUUUCCUGUCCACCUGUCAUGGAAGAGCUCAGUGCAGCUCCACAGCUACAACUCGCCCGCGUUUGCUCUUAAAGGAAUAGCCGAGUCACUCUCUUCUAGCAAAAGCAGCAGCACCUCAUUCACAGCGGAGUGUCAGGAUACAGAUCAGGUUAAGAAACAACUGUCACUUCCCACCAGCUAUGUCCUCGCUUCCACUGCCACCCACAAGGGCUGCCACAUGAGCAAGCAAUUGUAACCACUGGGCAUAAAAGGUAAGUAAAGCACCACAACUUUAUGACUGCAAGAUUAUGAAAUCCUUCCCAAGGAGGGGGAUGUCUCAAGGCCCUCCUGAAGCCCAUCAUAGCGAGACGACUCUUUCCUUAUUCUGUCUGCAUCUCCCAAGAUUGAUUAAUAUGGAUAAUCUUCCAGUUCAGACAAGAUUAGUCUUUGAAGGUCUACAAUUUGAAGUAAAGAUGGCAAGUUUGAAAGCUAGUUUCAAGCAGGAACAAGUGGCACCUGUCAGUUCCCUACUAGAACCCCUUGUUUAGUCUAUAAAUUACCAGGUAUUCCUGAUGUACACAAUUAUGGUGAUACACUGAUGUAUCUAAAACUAAGUAAUCAUGAAUUUUAACUGCUGUACUUUAAAAAUAAAUUCAAAA